AUGAUGGACUAUAGGACAGGACUGCUGCUUCUAACUAUCUGCUGGACAGGUGUUGAUGGUCAUACUCUGACACAAUCUGAACCAGUGGUUAAAAAGCCUGGAGAAGCUCACAGAUUGACCUGUACAGCCUCUAGACUUGACUUUGAUAACUAUUGGAUGCACUGGAUCAGACAGGCUCCUGGAAAAGGACUGGAGUGGAUUGCUCAUAUCUACAGUGACAGUAGUGGCAAAUUCUACUCUCAGUCAGUUCAAGGCCGGUUCACCAUCUCCAGAGACAACAGCAGACAGCAGCUGUAUCUGCAGAUGAACAGUCUGAAGACUGAAGAUUCUGCUGUUUAUUAUUGUGUCCAAAGAGAGGACUAA